rnacentral:RNase_MRP_RNA from 16 species
UCGAGGCAAACCUCUUGGGGAAAUUCCCCGGACGCAAGGGCAGAGAGUGCCAACCGUAGAUGGUCACCGGUGCGACUGCCGCUCAUGCAAAGACGGUCUUCUUCGGGGGCAAGAGCGCGAGAGUCGGCGUCGUUUUCCGCAGUCAGAUCAAAGUCAUGCCAUUUUUAUCAACUCAACGGGGGUCA